GACGUAGGGCGCGAGCGUUUGUCCGGAUUUUAUUUGGGCGAAAGAGCUCGUAGGCGGGCUUUGUCGCGGUCGACUGUGAAAACCCGCGGCUCAACUGCGGGCUUUGCAGCCGAUACGGGGCAGGCUAGAGUUCGGUAGGGGGAGACUGGGAAUUCCUGGUGUAGCGGGUGAAAUGCGCAGAUAUCAGGGAGGGAAACACCCGGGUGGGCGGAAAGGG
rnacentral:rRNA from 1 species